GGAUAUGGUGAAAAUUGGUAAACACACUAAUUUUAGAAAUUAGGAAAUUUAAGUUUUUAGUGGUUCAAGUCCACUUAUC
rnacentral:tRNA from 1 species